ACAGCGCUGGGAGUAGGUAGAGCUGAAGCGGUCGGGAUGACGGUUGGCCGAUUAUGUGGGAAGUGACCAUGCGUUCCGUUCUGCAAGAGGCUGAUGGCUACUGGUUUUCCUUCGAAAGUGUGCUACCGCCGUCGCCCACUGCGUUGCCGUCCGUCGAAGCGACCGCUUGGCAAUAUGCUUUUACGUGGUGCAAUCAAAGGACAAAUGUACGACAGAGCUGUUAGACUGUCCACGGCAUUGAAAUCCAAGUUGCCGGCUCAGCCUGAAGGAGGUGACUAGUCUACGAGUGAUUCAAGACCAGGUGGCUGGCCUCCUGACUGAAGAGGUCUACCGUUUUCAGAGGAACAGCACGAUGCAAGAGCGUCAGAACAUACAUCUUUUGUUCACAGCAAAAACAGGCGGAAGCAAGUCAUCCUGUUUUGUAGCAUUUUCUGAUUACUUCACGACAUAUAAUAAAUUAGAUUCGCUUUUCAUUUACGCGAGAAACUGACUGCAAAAUUUUUUAUUUAAGAACAUUGGUUUUCGCUGUUUUUCUCUUUCUGUUAUUCUUGUAAUAGUUUUACGUAAUAAAAGUGUGGAUUCAUGUCGACAA